rnacentral:rRNA from 1 species
CCUCCGGGAGGCAGCCGUGGGGAGUAUUGCACAAUGGGGGAAACCCUGAUGCAGCAACGCCGCGUGAGCGAAGAAGGCCUUCGGGUCGUAAAGCUCUGUCAUAAGGGAAGAAGCAUGACGGUACCUUAGGAGGAAGCCCCGGCUAACUACGUGCCAGCAGCCGCGGUAAUACGUAGGGGGCGAGCGUUAUCCGGAAUCACUGGGAGUCCAGGGUGCGUAGGCGGGCGAUUAAGGCAGAGGUGAACAGCUCGAGCUCAACCGUAGUAAGCCCUUGGAAUUGAUUGGGUUGAGUGCAGGAGAGGAGCGUAUAAUUCCUAGUGUAGCGGUGAAAUUCGUAGAUAUUAACAGCAACACCACUGCCUAAGGCGACUCUCUUUACUGUAACUGACGCUGAGGCACGAAAUCUUGCGGAGCAAACCGCAUUAUCUCCCCCAUUAAUC